CACGCUGCCAAUAUCACCACAACUACAACCAACAUGGUGCCGACAGGUUGGAUUGAGCGAGAAGCGACAUCCAACCCCACAACCCAAAGUACUACUUGUCGUAGCCGCCCUUGCGAAGACACGGAGAUGUGUUUUCCCACCUACACGUCACCUUUCUACACCUGCCAUCCGGUCGUUGCAGAAUGCCAAGCGCCAUCACGAACGGACGGCGUCUACAGUGAUGCGACACUACUCCAGGGUCAAAGGACACAGUUCACGUG